rnacentral:rRNA from 1 species
UACGAAGGGGGCUAGCGUUGUUCGGAAUUACUGGGCGUAAAGCGUGCGCAGGCGGUUCUCCAAGUCAGUGGUGAAAGCCCGGAGCUCAACUCCGGAACUGCCAUUGAAACUGUAGAGCUAGAGUACGAGAGAGGUGAGUGGAAUUCCCAGUGUAGAGGUGAAAUUCGUAGAUAUUGGGGAAGAACACCGGUGGCGAAGGCGGCUCACUGGCUCGUAACUGACGCUCAUGCACGACAGCGUGGGAGCAACA